UACGGGGGGGGCAAGCGUUGUUCGGAAUUACUGGGCGUAAAGGGCUCGUAGGCGGCCAACUAAGUCGGAUGUGAAAUCCCCAGGCUCAACUUGGGAACUGCAUCCGAUACUGGAUGGCUUGAAUUCGGGAGAGGGAUGCAGAAUUCCAGGUGUAGCGGUCAAAUGCGUAGAUAUCUGGAGGAAUACCGGUGGCGAAGGCGGCAUCCUGGACCGACAUUGACGCUGAGGAGCGAAAGCUAGGGGAGCAAACGGG
rnacentral:rRNA from 1 species